GUGAACGCUGGCGGUAGGCCUAACCCAUGCAAGUCGAACGGCAGCACAGUAAGAGCUUGCUCUUACGGGUGGCGAGUGGCGGACGGGUGAGGAAUACAUCGGAAUCUACUUUUUCGUGGGGGAUAACGUAGGGAAACUUACGCUAAUACCGCAUACGACCUACGGGUGAAAGCAGGGGAUCUUCGGACCUUGCGCGAUUGAAUGAGCCGAUGUCGGAUUAGCUAGUUGGCGGGGUAAAGGCCCACCAAGGCGACGAUCCGUAGCUGGUCUGAGAGGAUGAUCAGCCACACUGGAACUGAGACACGGUCCAGACUCCUACGGGAGGCAGCAGUGGGGAAUAUUGGACAAUGGGCGCAAGCUUGAUCCAGCCAUACCGCGUGGGUGAAGAAGGCCUUCGGGUUGUAAAGCCCUUUUGUUGGGAAAGAAAAGCAGCAGGUUAAUACCCCGCUGUUCUGACGGUACCCAAAGAAUAAGCACCGGCUAACUUCGUG
rnacentral:rRNA from 1 species